CAGCAGCCGCGGUAAUACGUAGGGUGCGAGCGUUAAUCGGAAUUACUGGGCGUAAAGCGUGCGCAGGCGGUUAUAUAAGACAGAUGUGAAAUCCCCGGGCCCAACCUGGGACCUGCAUUUGUGACUGUAUAGCUAGAGUACGGUAGAGGGGGAUGGAAUUCCGCGUGUAGCAGUGAAAUGCGUAGAUAUGCGGAGGAACACCGAUGGCGAAGGCAAUCCCCUGGACCUGUACUGACGCUCAUGCACGAAAGCGUGGGGAGCAAACAGGAUUAGAGACCCCUGUAGUCCCUGUCUCUUAUAA
rnacentral:rRNA from 1 species